rnacentral:misc_RNA from 1 species
UCCGGUUUGGCACCGGCAGUCUCCCAUGAGUCCCCGACAUAACUCGCUGGCAACAUGGGAUAGGGGUUGCGCUCGUUGCGCCACUUAAGGCAACACCUCACGGCACGAGCUGACGACAGCCAUGCAGCACCCGUCUCCAGGUUCCCGAAGGCACCCCCACAUCCCUGCGGGGUUCCUAGGAUGUCAAGACCAGGUAAGGUUCUUCGCGUUGCAUCGAAUUAAACCACAUGCUCCACCGCUUGUGCGGGCCCCCGUCAAUUCCUUUGAGUUUCAACCUUGCGGUCGUACUCCCCAGGCGGGGUACUUCCUGCGUUAGCGCCGGCACCCAGAGGGUCGCUCCCCCAGGCACCUAGUACCCAUCGUUUAUGGCGUGGACUAC